GACGAACGCUGGCGGCGUGCUUAACACAUGCAAGUCGAACGGAAAGGCCUGCUUUCCCUUGUGGAUUGCGGGUACUCGAGUGGCGAACGGGUGGGUAACACGUGAGUGAUCUGCCCCCAACUUGGGUAUAAGCCUGGGAAACUGGGUCUAAUUCCCGAUAGGACUGCAGGGUGGUGCCUGUGGUGGAAAACGAUUUUCUAGUGGUUGGGGAUGAGCUCGCGGCCUAUCAGCUUGUUGGUGGGGUAAUGGCCUACCAAGGCGGCGACGGGUAGCCGGCCUGGGAGGGUGGACGGCCACAUUGGGACUGAGAUACGGCCCAGACGCCUACGGGAGGCAGCAGUGGGGAAUAUUGCACAAUGGGCGGAAGCCUGAUGCAGCGACGCCGCGUGGGGGAUGACGGCCUUCGGGUUGUAAACUCCUUUCGACCGCGAGGAAGCCACCUGGUUGGAAGGGUGGUGACGGUAGUGGUAGAAGAAGCACCGGCUAACUACGUG
rnacentral:rRNA from 1 species